UACGAAGGGGGCUAGCGUUGUUCGGAAUCACUGGGCGUAAAGCGCACGUAGGCGGAUGUGCCAGUCAGGGGUGAAAUCCCGGAGCUCAACUUCGGAAUUGCCUCUGAUACAGCACGUCUUGAGUCCGGAAGAGGUGGGUGGAAUUCCUAGUGUAGAGGUGAAAUUCGUAGAUAUUAGGAAGAACACCGGUGGCGAAGGCGGCGAUCUGGGAAGAUACUGACGCUGAGGUGCGAAAGCGUGGGGAGCAAACAGG
rnacentral:rRNA from 1 species